AGAGUUUGAUCCUGGCUCAGAUUGAACGCUGGCGGCAGACCUAACACAUGCAAGUCGAACGGUAACAGGAAGAAGCUUGCUUCUUUGCUGACGAGUGGCGGACGGGUGAGUAAUGUCUGGGAAACUGCCUGAUGGAGGGGGAUAACUACUGGAAACGGUAGCUAAUACCGCAUAACGUCGCAAGACCAAAGAGGGGGACCUUCGGGCCUCUUGCCAUCGGAUGUGCCCAGAUGGGAUUAGCUAGUAGGUGGGGUAACGGCUCACCUAGGCGACGAUCCCUAGCUGGUCUGAGAGGAUGACCAGCCACACUGGAACUGAGACACGGUCCAGACUCCUACGGGAGGCAGCAGUGGGGAAUAUUGCACAAUGGGCGCAAGCCUGAUGCAGCCAUGCCGCGUGUAUGAAGAAGGCCUUCGGGUUGUAAAGUACUUUCAGCGGGGAGGAAGGGAGUAAAGUUAAUACCUUUGCUCAUUGACGUUACCCGCAGAAGAAGCACCGGCUAACUCCGUGCCAGCAGCCGCGGUAAUACGGAGGGUGCAAGCGUUAAUCGGAAUUACUGGGCGUAAAGCGCACGCAGGCGGUUUGUUAAGUCAGAUGUGAAAUCCCCGGGCUCAACCUGGGAACUGCAUCUGAUACUGGCAAGCUUGAGUCUCGUAGAGGGGGGUAGAAUUCCAGGUGUAGCGGUGAAAUGCGUAGAGAUCUGGAGGAAUACCGGUGGCGAAGGCGGCCCCCUGGACGAAGACUGACGCUCAGGUCCGAAAGCGUGGGGAGCACAUCAAAGGUAGAUACCCUGGUAGUCCACGCCGUAAACGAUGUGGACUUGGAGUGGUGCCCUUGAGGCGUGGCUUCCGGAGCUAACGCGUUAAGUCGACCGCCUGGGGAGUACGGCCGCAAGGUUAAAACUCAAAUGAAUUGACGGGGGCCCGCACAAGCGGUGGAGCAUGUGGUUUAAUUCGAUGCAACGCGAAGAACCUUACCUGGUCUUGACAUCCACGGAAGUUUUCAGAGAUGAGAAUGUGCCUUCGGGAACCGUGAGACAGGUGCUGCAUGGCUGUCGUCAGCUCGUGUUGUGAAAUGUUGGGUUAAGUCCCGCAACGAGCGCAACCCUUAUCCUUUGUUGCCAGCGGUCCGGCCGGGAACUCAAAGGAGACUGCCAGUGAUAAACUGGAGGAAGGUGGGGAUGACGUCAAGUCAUCAUGGCCCUUACGACCAGGGCUACACACGUGCUACAAUGGCGCAUACAAAGAGAAGCGACCUCGCGAGAGCAAGCGGACCUCAUAAAGUGCGUCGUAGUCCGGAUUGGAGUCUGCAACUCGACUCCAUGAAGUCGGAAUCGCUAGUAAUCGUGGAUCAGAAUGCCACGGUGAAUAAAAGCCCGGGCCUUGCACACACCGCCCGUCA
rnacentral:rRNA from 1 species